rnacentral:rRNA from 1 species
UACGUAGGGCGCAAGCGUUGUCCGGAAUUAUUGGGCGUAAAGAGCUCGUAGGCGGUUUGUCGCGUCUGCUGUGAAAGCCCGGGGCUCAACCCCGGGUCUGCAGUGGGUACGGGCAGACUAGAGUGCAGUAGGGGAGACUGGAAUUCCUGGUGUAGCGGUGAAAUGCGCAGAUAUCAGGAGGAACACCGAUGGCGAAGGCAGGUCUCUGGGCAUUAACUGACGCUGAGGAGCGAAAAGCAUGGGGAGCGAACAGG